rnacentral:rRNA from 1 species
ACGGGAGGCAGCAGUGGGGAAUAUUGCACAAUGGGGGAAACCCUGAUGCAGCGACGCCGCGUGAGUGAAGAAGUAUUUCGGUAUGUAAAGCUCUAUCAGCAGGGAAGAAAAUGACGGUACCUGACUAAGAAGCCCCGGCUAACUACGUGCCAGCAGCCGCGGUAAUACGUAGGGGGCAAGCGUUAUCCGGAUUUACUGGGUGUAAAGGGAGCGUAGACGGCAUGGCAAGUCUGAUGUGAAAGGUGGGGGCUCAACCCCCAAACUGCAUUGGAAACUGCCAGGCUCGAGUGCCGGAGAGGUAAGCGGAAUUCCUAGUGUAGCGGUGAAAUGCGUAGAUAUUAGGAGGAACACCAGUGGCGAAGGCGGCUUACUGGACUGUAACUGACGUUGAGGCUCGAAAGCGUGGGGAGCAAACAGGAUUAGAUACCCUGGUA